GGGCCGUUAGCUCAGUCGGUAGAGCAUCGGACUUUUAAUCCGCUGGUCGUUGGUUCGAAUCCAACACGGCCCACCA
rnacentral:tRNA from 1 species